AGAGUUUGAUCCUGGCUCAGGACGAACGCUGGCGGCGUGCUUAACACAUGCAAGUCGAGCGGAAAGGCCCUUCGGGGUACUCGAGCGGCGAACGGGUGAGUAACACGUGAGCAAUCUGCCCUUAGCUUCAGGAUAGCUCCGGGAAACCGGAAUUAAUACCGGAUAUGACUAUGGCCGACAUCAGCCAUGGUGGAAAGUUUUUCGGCUAGGGAUGAGCUCGCGGCCUAUCAGCUAGUUGGUGGGGUAAUGGCCUACCAAGGCGACGACGGGUAGCCGGCCUGAGAGGGCGACCGGCCACACUGGGACUGAGACACGGCCCAGACUCCUACGGGAGGCAGCAGUGGGGAAUAUUGCGCAAUGGGCGAAAGCCUGACGCAGCGACGCCGCGUGGGGGAUGAAGGCCUUCGGGUUGUAAACCCCUUUCAGCAGGGACGAAGCGAAAGUGACGGUACCUGCAGAAGAAGCGCCGGCUAACUACGUGCCAGCAGCCGCGGUAACACGUAGGGCGCAAGCGUUGUCCGGAAUUAUUGGGCGUAAAGAGCUCGUAGGCGGUCUGCUACGUCCGCUGUGAAAACCUAGGGCUUAACCCUGGGCUUGCAGUAGAUACGGGCAGACUAGAGGUAGGUAGGGGAGAAUGGAAUUCCCGGUGUAGCGGUGAAAUGCGCAGAUAUCGGGAGGAACACCGGUGGCGAAGGCGGUUCUCUGGGCCUUACCUGACGCUGAGGAGCGAAAGCGUGGGGAGCAAACAGGAUUAGAUACCCUAGUAGUCC
rnacentral:rRNA from 1 species